CUUCCACACACCUCUUAUUGUUGUGAACACAGCUAUUGAACACUGACCAUUAACAUCCGUGUAUAAUCAAUCACAGACCACCAGAUGUGGUGUCCAUCAAUUCCUUAGAGAACUUAUUACAAUUCUCUUAAUUCACACAUAAUCUCUGCAUAUUUACACCCUGCAGGGAUCGAUCGUUUCGCUUGAGAAGUAAACCAGUGAUCCAGCUCUUGCAGUAAAUGAGGUGAUUUCUAUUUUGGUCGUCCCGUCACGAUUCUCAUGUAACAUGUCGAUUGUCAAUAAGAAUUGUAUCCAGACAUGUCUCUGCGAUCAAUAUGUUCUUGUGUUCUCACUGAUUCGUGCUGCAGUGCUGCUAAAAUUAACCGCACCUUUAUCGACGACUUCAUCUUACACUUUUCUUUGCACAUGGUCAGUCACAUGUGGAUUUAAAUGUGGGCUAACUCUAUGUAGCGCCUGUGACAGCAUCCCUAAGGCACAGAGGAAGUGUCAAAGCACACUGCACUUACACUCUCAUACAACACCCCUGCUUAAAAACACACGCAAACCCAAAGUAUGAUUGCUAAACACAAAAAUAACUCUCUCAUAAAAAGCCUGAUGGAUGAAAUAUUGAAGUGUUAUGGUUAGAGGAUUGAAAAAUUAUUAUUAAGAUACACAGCCUGUAGUUAAUAGCAAUGUUGGAGCAAUUAAAUCAUCAUUACAAUUAUGGAUCAUGAAUAAGUAAUAACUGAACAGCUUUUGCAGCCACUCUUAACGACAUUAGCGCUCAUGCAGUAAAGUAUUCAUACAGUACAUUCAUGUUAAUGUGGUGGUGGUUGCCUCUGCCCUCAGCACAUGCAUUAAAACAGCAGUUAAAGCUUAAUAUGAAUCUGACACGUUUGAUUAUUUAGAAACGACAUGCCUGAAAAAGUGAUGCACCGUAUUUCAUUUUUUCUCCUUUCUGGGUGCAGAAAAGCAGGAAUCGGUUGCAGAGAGGAGAUAAGAGGACAGAGGCAGAGAGAGCAACAGGGUCUGAGGUGAGUGCAAUGAUGAAGUGUGCUAUAUUUAAGCUGAUAUGUUUUUAACAUCUUCUCAUGGAAUACCACAUGACUUUGAAAAGUAGCUUUUAACACACGAGUGCCACUCUACCUGCAGGGCUGCAGCACGCUGUAAAACGAGUGCUGCAGCCUGUAAUAAUGUGAAAAAGUUUUAUUUUUUUUUUAGCUCUCUUCUUGACAUAUCAGCACUGAAUAUGCCUUUAUUUUCAGAGAUUUCUCCUGUUUGUGUUUCACCCCAGAGGACAUCAUGACGUAAGUGAAUUGUGUAAGACUCUAAAAAAGAAAAAGAGAAAAUGAACCCUUUGAUUAAUUUAAGGAGAGAUGCCCAAAUUCCUGGUUGCUUUUGCUUUGAAUAAGGGUAAGUAUUGUCAGUCACGGGGCUGAGUGGACUCUAUAAAUGCUGAUAAGUGGUCAUGUCGUUGAUGUGGCCCAUUAGCUGUGUAUAAGAACGCAUGUAUCUAUCUAUCUAUCCUGCACUCUCCACAGCUCAUGCAUUCUUUAUUUUUAGAGCAUUUCAUAAUUUAUCCAAAGAGGAUGAUGUCUUUUACAAGGUUAUCUGACUUGGGCUUACUCAGAGCACUGACGUCAUUAUUAUUUAUUCAUCCAUUUUUGGAACAAAUACUGAGCGUCACACUCUGAUAACCACUCUGAGUUUAUUUAUGGUGCAGAUUCUACAUUUGUUAUUCUGUUCGGCAGAUAUACAUCUAUUAUAUGUUGAGUUAUCCUGAAGAAUUCAGCUCUUCUGUUGUGCUUUCUUUCUCAUACCAUAUAUUAAGAAAGCCUGUGUGUGCAUGAACCAGAUCACAACAAAAAAGGGAAGUUUUGCUUUGUUGUGUGAAUCUGACUCUCUUAAAUGUAUCCCUCCUUUCAUUUUAAGCAUAGAUUAUGGUUUCUUAGGCAGCAUCCUAGCCAUUUUGUUUCUACAUGCCAACUUUGUGUUAUCUUUCAGAGUUCAGAUUGUGAACUUUUGGAGUCACAUUGUUUCACCAGCUUUGGUUUGAUUCUGAUGGAUCUGUGUGGUACAAAGAUUAAAGAAAUAAAUGUGUUUAAGAGAAAGACAACAUAGUGAUCUCUUGAUGUGCAAAAAAACAAGUUCUGUCUUACAGGCAUCAGUUAGGGAAGAUUAAUGCUUUUCAAAAACCUCCACAGCAGAUUAGAAUUGAUGGAGAGUGUUCACAAAAUACUGCAAUAAAUUUCCCAUCUCAACAGCCAUUAUCAUGUUUUCUCCUCAGAUAAUAGGUCUGAAAAAGUGGACCUGAGGUGACAACAAACACCCUGUAAAGCCAAUCUAUCACUCAUUGCUGCACCUGUUUGCAUUAGUUUGUUGGCAGGUAUUUCUGUGUGUAUGCAGCAACACCAGGAUGAUGCUGCUGAAACUUUAGGAUUUCAAGUUGUCUUAAAAUGCUGCCACCGCAUUUGUUAAUUGUGCUUGUUCCUCUGUGUGCGGACGUCAGAUGACUUGGAUUCUUAAUCCGGUUAAAUGACAUACUUGAAAAUGAUGGCGUCAACGUGGAACAUUCAGAGAAUUUUAGCUUUACCUUUUGGAAAGCUGGUGUUUAUUGAAGGCUGAUUAAAGUGUGUGUUUUUAGGUCAAACAUGAGACUCUCAGAGGGUGUUACAGAAAAUUGGGGUAGUGCUAAACUGGAAAAAAAGAAAAAGUUGAAGCUUUAUGUGGGGCAGAAACAAGAUCGAAGCAGUCUGGAAGGUUUUCUCUCACUUUUGAACUUCCUGAUGGCUGAUACCAACACGAUUACCAAUAUAGCCAUCUAUGUUUGUAUUUUGAAAUGUGUAGUUUAGGCACACCUUGCCAAUUCUAAGCUCUGAGUUGUUUCUGAUGUUAUUAGACAUAUCUUCACAUAUAUCGUCAAAGCAAUGGCAACUUUUGAGCUUGUUUAAAACUUGUGGCUAAAGCUGUGCACACUGAAUUGAUGUAACUCUUAAAAGUCAGCAACAGAAUUACUGGACUACUACUCUCUUCCAGCAGCCGCUUAGCAUCCCAGUCUGAUUGCAUUUCCUUGAAGAAAUGAUCAUAAAUGUUCUUCCUUGAGCUGCGUCACCCCGUUGUAGUCGUUGUAGUGUAAUGGACUGGUCCGAGGUCUCGCUACAAAGAGUGGGUAAGUUGUGUUUAGUCUCUUUGCUUAAGAAAUCAGGCAAAGCUAAAAAGAAUUUUGGUGGCUAGUGCUAUGGCUGGGACCCCAUAUGUACCAUUGAUGAAGUUAGGUGCUGUUCUGAGCAUUAUUUGUGGCUAUAGAGUGGCUUUUUGGUUGAGCACGUGGCUCUCUGUAUUGCUAUCUGUGGUCAUUACUAAAGUUGGUAUAACUCAAGAAUCAAGCGGUCGGCAACAUUCAUCUCUCAAGGGGAUGUCUAACUUGGUGUUAUGGUGCGUGUGACCCUAAAUUAAUUUUACGUCGGAAUAUCCCUUUGAGUACAUUGUGCUAAGUUUUGACUGUUUAUUGUAUUUUUCAUUCUGUUCAAGCAGAAUUUAAAUUUCUAUUUAAUCAAUCAGGAAAUAAAAAGAAAUUAGUUGAUUUCAGUCCAAUGAGAUAUAAAUUGUUACUUCGUUCACUUGAGGCUGGUGAAGUAACAUCUUAGCUUUGACAAAAAUGGAUGAAUAAUCACACUUACAAGAAAAAAAAAUGAGAGACCUUGUUUAAAUUUGGUCUCAAAGGGAACUCGCUGACAGCAGAGCUAAAGGAUCCUCAGUGCAGAAAUAUUUUUCUCCUGACGGCACACUCGCAACCUCUGGAGCACAUGAAGGAUAUAACUGGAACAUACUGUUUAAAGGCUACUGGCAAGAAGCUAAUUUUACUGUAUGGUGUAUAUCUCCCACCUAUCAACCCCCCCACCCCCACAAACAAACACACACACACACACACACACACACAUACCAACAUCCUUAGGGAGUCAGGUCUAAGUUUGGUCGCUGCUAAGUCUUGCCAGGUAACCCUAUACCCCUCAUUGUCCCCGGGACGCCGCCUCUUCACAUAUGACAUUUGAAGAAGGAUGGUGCUACAAGAUUGUGUGUGUAUGUGUGUGUGUCUGGUUCAUACAUGUAUUUAACAAGAUGUGUGGACUAAUGCAUGAAUGUGAGCUUUGAUCUGUGCGAGUGCUAAUUGAAACUCGCUGUACUUAGCGAGUGCGAAGCUAAACAUGCAGAAAGGUGUGAGGUGUUUAAUGCUGGGGGCUUCAGGAAGUGAAUCACAGGGAUGAAGGUACCUCAUGCUGAACUCUGGGGUUGGUGGGGGAAGGAAGGGCGACACGGUCGGCUGCUGCAGGGAGGGUGACAUUUGUCCAAAAUAACCAUUGUGCUACAUCUCCGCUAUUGGGGGGGUUUAGCCAGGUGAAGCCCCCUCAGAUCUGCCCCGGUCGACCGAAGGCACAAAGGUCAAAUCAGCAGUUGUUAGACUGAAUGUUCGAGGUCGGCCAAAGGUCCUGUGAGUGUUUAAACAAUGUACUCAAACAAAACAUUUCAGCAAUGCAAACAGAGCUUCACUUCGAAAACACACAUGAUAUAAUUCUAUGCUAAUUCAAGCAAACGGGCCAUUAGACGGAGAGACCUCUGAGGGCUCGAAUUUGGCUGCUUUGUCUCCUUGUAUUAUGAUAGUAUCUGUUUGCCUGCUUGGCAUUAUGAGAAUGGUGAAGUUUAUGUAAACACACCUCUGCUGACCUCUCAGCCGUGAUGCCAAAAUGAAUAAACAUGAAAGCUGGGUAACAACAAAAGGCCACUUUUUUUUUUUUUUUUUUUGCUCUGCACGUUACAUCAUCUUCCUCUGUGUCCUCCAAAGCCAGCUCAACUUUUCCUGCUUGUGUCGGAUCGUUUCCAUCACUGAUCCUUCUUUGACUUUUCACUUUCUUUUUUUUUAACCGAAUUACUUCUCUGUUAUCUCAGCUUUGAGACAAACAACACCAUGCUCUGUUGGCUCCAUAUAAUCUUUCCUCAUAGUGUUUGAUUAAAGCUAAUUAACAAAAUAGAUGCAUAAUAAAUAGCUGGCAUUUUGCAUUAAUUAAGCCUGGAGAAUGUAAAAACUAUUAGAAAGAAUUCACCUCACAGGCUUAAGCUCAUUAUGUCGGCUUAGUUAUAAUCAGUGUAUCAUAUUUGUUUGUGUGCUCCCAUAACGACUUAUGGCUUUACGCAGAAUCUGCACACACAGGAUUUUCUGGCAUUACGUACGUAAUUAGAGAUGUGUAUAACGCCACAGAAGUGCGUAAGGUCAAUCUAAGGGAAGUCAUCAACAAUUUAAUUGGCAGCACUUUAUAAAAGUCACAUUUUUGAGUCCCAGAGGAACACUUAAUAACCAGGAAAGCUUUUUUUAACCAUAGUAGUAUUAAACAAGGUUUUUCUUUUUGGAUGAAUACUGGUUGCAAAAAUAAUGAGUGGAAACUGUGUACCCAUUGAUCCACAGUUUGAUAACCAGAGAACUAGAAAACUGGACUGCCCAUAUUAUAGCUGAAAGUGGAAUUUAGCAAUUCAGAAAUUCGGUGGCCUUUUUUCGCAGAUUGUGAUUUGUGAUUUUUUAGUAAUAUUUUAUCUCCGAAAUGGCAAAACAAUCAGACUGAUGCAAUAGCGUGGCUUAGGACAGAUUUAGAAUGACAUUUUUUCAUAUUUCAAAGUCCCUGUAAGAGCUAUUUAACUAGUUGUGAAACAGUCUGAAAUAAAAAAAAAACUGACAUAUCUUUAAAAGUUACAAAAGCAACCAGGACCAUCAGCAUGAAACCUUGAAACUAUUGCCAUAGCAAUGCUCACUUGUUGUAUCCAUGUGCUUGGGUGACUAACUCAUUUGAUAUUUCCCAUGUAGAUGUUAUCUUACUGUGUUUCUUUUUUUUUUUUUUAAUAUUCAUGAAUUUAAGAGCUGUCGUUUACUGUUUUUUUGCUAGCAUUUGCAGAGGGAACUAGAAAAGCACUCGGAGAGCGCAGACCUCCGCCAAGCAGAGCCCCUUAAACAAGAAAUGCCCUGACCAGGAUUCGAACCCAGGACCUCCUGGUUGUGACAGUGCUAACCACUACACCACUGUGCCGCCUAUCCACACCACUGUGCCGCCCGUUGGUUAUCUUUCAGCAUUGAAAAUUCCAAUGACACCCUUAUUUUUGUGUGUUCUGGAUCACAGUAUCCAGAAUUUUGUCCAGAUCACCACCAAAAUGUAAUGGGAUCCUCCUGGGGCUGAGACGCACCUCUGGUGAAAAUUUCAGGUCAAUCCGUCUGUUACUUUCUCUGUAAAGUUGCUAACAGACAAACAAAUAAACCAAUGGUAUCGAAAACAGUACCUCCUUGGCGGAGGAAACUAAAAGUGGUGACACUGAAUUGGCUCUUGGGUUAAGCCAGUCAAUGUACACUCUCUUGCACUAACCUUGCACUCAGGACAGUUAAGUCACUCACACACAGAAGCUUAAAAGGUUCCUGGAAACUGGGCUCUAGGAACUACAUUUGUUCCUGCAUUACAUUAGAAGGAGAAAUCAUACCUUGUAAAUACAAUACAAAUGACCCAUUAUAUUGACAUGUGCCGUUUUUGCUCUCAAAGUAUGAUUAUGAGAAAAUACAGGGACUGCUCAGCAUCUGGAGUAGCUCUGUGUCCAUCAGUAGGGGGCUGAUGGUCCAUCUGAGUGCUCUGUGUGAGGUGGAAGAUUCUCACUGAGAGUCUAAAUGAGUGUUUAGAGGUGGGAGCAUGGUGCACUCUGCUAUUGAUAGAACCACAAACACACAGAAACACACUGAGCAAAACAAACAAGGACACAAAGCUCUUCUGUACAUACUUGUCUAAUUAGUAGUUUCUUUGAUGACUGAAAACAAUGCCAGCAUAUAAUCACAGAUCAAUUUGUCUUUACUAGAAAGGCAUACAGAGGCAGAAAAUAUAGCUUUUUAAAACUACUUAGUCACAUAUCAGGCCUGUGCAGCUGUCAGUCAAUGUCAGGCUGUGCAGACUGGUGCUGUUUUUUCCAUGGAAACAGAAUCUGAAUUGCCCGUUUUUUGCAACUUUGUGUGAUGCAAUAUUUCUAUUUUUAUGCUGUUGCUUGGCAUCAGAGAUUUCAUUGGCGUCAGAUGUUUGAGCACAGGUAGUGAUUAAUAAAACACUGAAAAGAAGUAUCUUGAAAAGAUUGAAGUCCUUGUUGGCGACCUUCCUCACCUCUGCAACUAAAAUUCUGCUAUCUGUGGGCUGAAUACUGUCGAUUUUCUCUGACAUGAUAUACAGCGUAUUGAUUUCUUCCUGUAUCUUCGUCAUAUGUGCGAUGACGAGGAACAGUGAGUCUUUUGAUGUAGCUUAUCACUUUCCACAGCCGUGUCUUGCUUUCAUACAAAGUGGAAUCAGGAUUUAUUUUAGUACCUGACAAGAAUGGUAUGGAAAAUUUACCUCUGCUUUUGGUAUAUGAUGUAGUUCUGUAAGUAUCUCCAGGCUUGAACCACCAGGAGGCAGUAAGAUGAUCUCAGCCCAAGGCGGUUGGGAUGAGUAUCAGCAACUUCAAAUCUGAGACAUUGGUUCUCUGCUGGAAAAUGGUUUCCUCUGAUUUGGGAGCAAAUCUUUUAACAAAUGAGGUUAAAGUAGAUGGUGAGAUUGAGAGACGGUGGUGCACCAUUAGUUGCAAUACGGUUGACAAUAAGGGACUGUUGGGGUUAAGCGAGAGCUAAUUUUGAAGGUGAAGACCCCGGUUUACCAGCUGGUCUACUUUCUGACCCUUAAGAUCACAAGUUUUGAGAUGAAACCAAAAGAUUGAUAUUGCAUUUGGGUUAAGAAUGGUUAAAGACAUGACCAACUUGCGAACCUUAAUGUAAAUCUAGGGAUGGGGAUCAAGACCCAGUUCCAUUAAAAACUCAGUUCAGCAUUUUUCAAAACCCAAAAGUCAAUAACAUUUGAGAUACUGGUAGUGCUGUUGAGUCUUGUGGGUCUAUUGAAGUAGAGUUAUACUUUGAGUUGGAUCACAUCAUGUUAAUUCAACGGGUAUCGACCUGCAAGAAGAAGAAUUCUGGAGGUCAGUUGCUUUCAAUUAUGACUAAAUAUUCAGAGAAGUCCAAAGAGUGGCUCUAUUUUGCCAAAGCCAAAGAUAGGGAUGAAGGGAAAUGUAAUCAAUGUUGCAAAAUAAUUUCUUACAAGGGGGUGACACAACCUCCAUGCCCAAGCACAUUAGCAUUGUGCAUCAAAUCAAGCCAAAAUGCAGUACCUUUGAUUUCUGCGGCUUGGAGCAAUGCUGGUGCUGUGGGGCUGCCAUCCUCCUGUUCGGCCAGAGAAAGUUUAGCCUAUCCGAAGUUAAAAUCCAUACUAAAUUCAAGAGGAUAAAAGCAAGUUAGCUUACGAGCCAAUGUGACAUGUACUUACAGUGAGAGGUGUUAAAAGUCCGGUCGGUGAAGUGAGAAUUAGGCAAAAGUAAAUGAUACAGUAUCGAUUAUCAUGAUACAUCACGAUGUGUUCAAAUGUCUCUCUCUCUCUCUCUCUCUCGGUCGUCCUCAGAUGAGCGUCCAUUGGAGUCUCCAAUCCUUCCAAUUCUCCAUGCACUCGGCCAGCUUCAAAGAGAUUUCAGCUUCUGCAUCCUUCUUCAGGAGCUCCAGAUGUCUAUGGCAGUGGCCAGCCAGCCUCAUCCUCCUAGAUGCUACCUUCUUGCUGAGCCUUGGCAGUUGCCCGUAUAGGUCCUUGUUGGUAGUGUGGAUGUUCUGGUCCACAUUCGGAACAGCUCGCAGCAUUCUGGUGUAGCACCCAUCCAGGGACUUCUGCAGGGUGGGUGUCAGGGUCCAGCCAUACAGGAGAACGGAUUCCACAGUGGCGUGGAAUAGGUUCAGCUUUGUGUAUCUGGGGUGAUUCGAGCACCACACUCCUGACAUGCCGUUUAGGGCCCUCCACGCUAGUGCCUUCCUGACCUUAAGGUCCUGUUAUGUGGAGUUCACCCAGGAACCCAACUAUUUUAAGUCAUUGACCUGUCGCAGAACAUUGCUGUCUGAGGUUGUAAUCGGCGGAUGGUCCAGAAAACAGAAAAGUUGGCUUGGGUGAAAUACCUGUAGAAAUACAACAGUUUGAAAGAAAACAGCAAUAACAGAAAAUACUGGAUAGUGGUAUCAAUGAGGACUUGACCAAGUUUUAGGUCUCAUCUUUGUAUCGAUACUCUUGUCUCAGUCAUUUCUUGAUCGGGGUUUAUGCAGUCAUCAUCACAAGCUUGUAGUAUUCAUUCUAAUACAAGGUUUCAGCAG